CAAAAACAUGUCUUUUUGAGUUAUUUUUAAAGUCUAACCUGCCCAAUGAAUAAUUUUUAAUGGCCGCAGUAAUUUGACUGUGCAAAGGUAGCAUAAUAAUUAGUCUUUUAAUUGAAGGCUUGUAUGAAUGGUUGGACGAAGUAUAAUCUGUUUCAUUUAAAUUUAAUAUAGAAUUUAAUAUUUUAGUAAAAAAGCUAAAAUUUUUUUAAAAGACGAGAAGACCCUAUAAAUCUUUAUAAUCUGAAAUUUAAUUUUUUUUUUGAUUUAAUUUAAUUUUAAUAAUUCAGAUUAUUUUAUUGGGGUGAUAUUAAAAUUUAAAUAACUUUUAAUUUAAUUUUUUCAUUAAUUUAUGAUUUAUUGAUCCAUUAAUAAUGAUUAUAAGAAUAAGUUACUUUAGGGAUAACAGCGUAAUUUUUUUGGAGAGUUCUUAUUGAUAAAAAAGUUUGCGACCUCGAUGUUGGAUUAAGAUAUAAUUUUAGGUGUAGUUGCUUAAAUAAUAAGUCUGUUCGACUUUUAAAUUCUUACAUGAUCUGAGUUCAAACCGGA
rnacentral:rRNA from 1 species